CUUUUGCUGGCGACCGGCGCACGGGUGAGUAACACGUAUCCAACCUGCCCUUUACUCGGGGAUAGCCUUUCGAAAGAAAGAUUAAUACCCGAUAGCAUAAUGAUUCCGCAUGGUUUCAUUAUUAAAGGAUUCCGGUAAAGGAUGGGGAUGCGUCCCAUUAGGUUGUUGGUGAGGUAACGGCUCACCAAGCCUUCGAUGGAUAGGGGUUCUGAGAGGAAGGUCCCCCACAUUGGAACUGAGACACGGUCCAA
rnacentral:rRNA from 1 species